UACAGAGGUCCCAAGCGUUACUGAGAUUCACUGGGUUUAAAGGGUGCGUAGGUGGCGCGUUAAGUCAGUUGUGAAAUCCCCGGGCUCAACCCGGGAAAUGCUUCUGAUACUGGCGUGCUUGAGGCCGGUAUAGGUUACUGGAACGGACGGUGGAGCGGUGAAAUGCGUAGAUAUCGUCUGGAACGCCAGUGGUGAAGACGGGUAACUGGGCCGGUUCUGACACUGAGGCACGAUAGCGUGGGUAGCGAACGGG
rnacentral:rRNA from 1 species